UUCCCUCCUUCUCUUUCUCCUUUCCUUCAUUCCUUUCUUUUCAACUCUGUUUCGUGAUUUUUUAUUUUCCUGCCUGUUUUUCAUCUUCCGCUGGUCUAUAGUUUGUCCUGUAAUCGUUUUCCUUGUUCCAUUUGCUUUUUUCCCUCGUUAUCUUCAUUCUGUUCAUUCUUUCUAUUCUCUUCUUCGUCCAUUUUUCUUUUCUAACACGUAUUUUAAUUUUUCCCGCCCUCUUUGAUCUCCAUUUUUGUUUGUCUUUCUUCCUUCAUUAUUUCCUCAUUCUCCUCAGAUUUUGAUAUUAAACAUUUCCAGCUGUUCCUUUGUCGUCUCGUAACUCUGGAUGUCCUUGUUUUCCUCUUGUCUUCUUGUUUUUCCUCUUCUUCAAACGUGAGUCGUUGUUUUCCUGUCGUCUUCUUGUUUUCCCUUUAAUCAAACGUAAGUGCUGGAAAAGAUUGAUAACUGAGGAAGUGGAGAACUAUAUCUAGAGUCGUGGGGUCAUCGCUCGCUUCACUGCCUCAGAGGGAAGCUAAGACACAGGCCUGGCUCUUGACUCCUCUCCUCUUUGGUGUUGUAAAGACUGGCCGCGGGAGAAGCUUGUGAGGGGAUGAGGAAUGUGUGUUGAAGUCUAGAGGAGAACGUCAAGGUGGAAGGAUGAACUGGUGGUGACUUUUGUGUUUGUAUACAGUUUAUAUACAGUGUUUCCUUCCUGUCAAGUGAUUAGGUGUUUUAAAAGAAGGUUUGGUAGAAAGUAUUUGAUAUGCGAGUGAUUAAAAGUGAAGAAAUGAAAAUCAUAAAGGAUAAUAUUCUUUCCUAAUAUAUGAGGACGAGUGUUGAGUGUGUUUUGCUUCUUUUUCAUUGUGAAGUGAUAAGAGUCCUGAAAGUAAAUUGCUACUUUUGACUUCAUUUAUGGUGUUUUUAUUUAUUUGAGAGAUAAAAACUGAAGAAAAAGUAAUGGGAUGUGAAGUUCAUUACGUGCGUUGAUAAUUAUAUUACUGAAAAAAAGACACUGGAAAGAAAAAUCAUGUCUCAAUGUCACGCAACACAAUGAACUGCUAGUGGGUGGUGUAGUGUGGUGGUGGGAAAGAGAAGUUGAUAAUGUGUGGUGACAGUUUAAACUCAAGAAAGUUUACUUAAGGUGAAAAUAACUGGAAAAAAAAGCAAAGAUAUGAAAAAGUAAAGGAGAUUGAAAGGGAAAGCUCACUGAAAAUAAAUAAAAAGUGGAAACAACAUAGAAACAGUAAGGCAGAAACAAUUUAAAGUGAGAAAAAAAUAUGAAAAAAAUAUAAAAGUUAGAAAACAAUUUAAGGAGAAAAGCUCAUGAAGAAAAUAAAUCAAAUAUAGAAACGAUUCAAACAGAAAAAAAAGGUCACGAAAAUGAAAUAAAAGAAAAAAACAA